rfam:Salmo salar isolate Sally breed double haploid chromosome ssa22, whole genome shotgun sequence.
UGCAUUCACUACUGUAAGUCGCUCUGGAUAAGAGCGUUUGCUAAAAAUGACACAAA